AUCUAAGGGGCAUUCCGAUGGAGCAGGCAGGCUGCGCCCAGAAAGGUGGGGAGGGGUUGGAAGCAGAUGGGCAGGCACGGGCGAGCGUGCACAGCCUGAAAAAGUUUUCAUGAUGGUUCCAGCCUAAUUUCCCAACGCUGGUCUUGGGCGCCACAAAACCUGAGCGGCCCGACCGGAGCCGGGUGCCAGCCUCAGGGCCGCCGGGCCCGGCGCAGCGUCCGGAAUUCCUGCGAUGUCUGGGGCGCGGCGGUGGCUCCUCCCCGCCCCCACCACGGCCUCCGCCGGCAUUUUCCGGCUAGGAGGCCCGCCAGCCCUUCGAAGAACCGGCUCCACGCGCGGCCGGUCGCGGCCGGCGCGCUUCCCGCGGAGAGGCGAGCGCGGCGCCCGGACCGCGUGUUAUAGUUUUGCCGCUGGACUCUUCCCUCCCUUCCCCCACCCCAUCAGGAUGAUAUGAGACUUGAAAGAAGACGAUGCAUACAGG
rnacentral:sRNA from 1 species